ensembl:lncRNA
CGGUAAACAACUUUUAAGGGCUCAGCAGAUUCCGUCAUGCUGCGGUCCUCUAUUUCCUAAUGAGCCACCUGUCAAUACAACUGCUAUCUUACGCACAAUUACGCUAUCAGUUCUGACAUAAACAGCAGGCUAAGCAUGGGGAGAACUGGAAGAUGAGAAAAAGGGAGUGAGGGUUUGGGUUUGUCACAUGUGGGACAGAACGUGAAACAUUAAAACCAGAGCUUUUGGAAACCACCUCAGAAUGACUUUCUGUUUCUCUUGCAGCUGUUUGGAAAUCAAAAGGUAGGACUCAGUGACUCACUCCAGCAUCUCUUCAGCCCCUUCCCUUCACUUCCCCUGCAGAGGAGCCUGAGGCAGGAAAACAGGUUUGGCUUUAAUCUGUCGCUUUCAGCUGCGAGCAAGCCGGGUCCUCUUUGAGCUGCUUCAGCCUGCCUUCAUCUCACAGCUGGGAGAUCGAGUUCUUCUGCGAUCCGUGGACCGUUAGAGGUCUUGGUGGCAUAAAUCAGGCUGACAGUAGCCUGGCAGACCACCAGACAAUCAGAACAGGGGCAGACGGAGUGACCCACCACCCCACCUGCAGGAGUCCGCAGAGUCCACAGGCCACCCGAAGCUUCUGCGUGUCUGGAUCCACUCCAGCCACCUGUCAGGUGCACCAGCUGCCUGGCCCCCUUAAGCUGCGUAGUCCAUCUGUGCCCAGGUCUGGAUUUGAUAUAUUACUCAGUAUCAUGAGGGAUAAUGCUGUAAUGUCGCUAAAUUGCAUUAGCGGUGUCAUAUUUUUCUUUUGUUGGUAUAAUAAGUGGCAGUGCAGAAUAAAAGUUGCAGAUACUGGCAGUGCCUCAAUUUAUGGGAGACUGUAUAUGCUACCUUCUCACUUUUUUAUUACUAUCAGACUCUGAUGAUAUUUACUUAUCGUGUUUACUUCAGCAGAAGACAUUACUUAAUGAACAAUACAAAGUUGUGUGCUCAUAUGUCACAAAAACACGCACACAUAUCUACACACAUAUGUGUGUGUGUGUGUGUGUGUGUGUGUGUGUGUGUGUGUGUGUGUGUGUGUGUUUGAAAGAGUCUGGUUUUGGCUAAAUUAUAGGACUACCUAACAAAAUGGCUUAAAGUUGGCAUGAAACAUAAUUUAAAACUUUUCUUCUUUAUUAUG